CCACCUCACCCCUGACCCGCGCCCCCUCCCACCCGUGACCCGUGCUCCCUCCCCUAACCCUAAUCGCCGCCGCACCGCCACUGAUUCGCUCCGCGGAACACCGAACACCAACGCCCGCCGCGCUCCCCUCACCCAAGCCCGCGGCACCACCGAUCCGCGCCGCCGGAACACCCGUGCCCCUCGCUAUCCCCCCACCCUCGUCCGUGCCGCCCCAGAUCACCGUCGCCCUGAGUUGUCGUCGCCCGCCUCGUCGAUCUCCUCUGCACCACCAUAACUCCGUGCGCGAACCUCGCCGAUCUCCGUGCCACCAGAGCUCCGUCGCCUGCCUCGCCGAUCUGCUCCAACCCAUAUCCCAUCCGCCGCCAAGAGACAUUUCUGCAGCAUCUUAAGGUGGUUUAUGUCUAUUUUGAUCGAGCAGUUUGGCGAGUGGAGAUGUGGAAUUAUACCAUAGUAGUUCAGGAGGAUUGAUAUAGUUGGUGGCUCUUCCUUUCUCGAUCAUAUAUGGUGUUUGCUGCAUGCCUACAUCUCUUCAGAUCAUUCGUUCACAAAGAAAAAACAUCUAAUCAGAUCCAACCUCCACCAGUGACGCCGAUCUAGAGGCGCCGUCAACUGCAAGUCAGUACCAGUUAUGAACUUUCUCAUGCCAUGGCUAAUCAUCAACCUUUUCAUUGUGCCUAAUCUUCAAGUGUUAGUUCUGUCUCUAGGAUUGUACAUAUUUGGCAGUACUUGACAGAAUGAGCGAUGGUAAGAGAUCAUUAGACUAUAAUUGUUCAUUUCGGUUAUGGAAUUAUAUUUCACCUUGAAUAUCCCAAUAGUACUCAUGAUUAUCAUUUUCAUUCGGUACUCAUGCUGAUCAAGAUUUGGUCCUUAUGCUUAAGUAAUUGUUGCUGAUCCAGAGUCAUUCAGCUCCUUCAAACUGAAUCAGUAGAAGGCUAAAAGUAGAAACAAAUGCCUUCAUGGGAUGCCUAAAAUGACUGGUGCAGGAACUAGGCUUAAAUUGCAGUCAGAAUCAGUACCAUGUGUUAGAAGCAGAUGAUCUCCUGGAUACUUUAAUUAAAGCCACUAUCACAGUUUAAACCAUAUAAAUUAAUUAAGGCCACUAUCACAGUUUAAACCAUAUGAACUAAUAGGAAGCCAUUUGCGGUGAAUCUUACAAUCACGUGCUGCUCUGAAAUGUUCCCAAAAAAACACUUUAACCUUUCGGCUUAAUAUAUUAACCGAAUACUUUAUGCCUACAUCAAUUGUGCCCUCUAAGAUCAUGACAUUCAAUUUAUUGUUCUUUAUUUUAUGAAUAUUCCAACUAUUUUGCAAGAUGAAAAGCAGUUUGAGGCUUUGAAUCCAAGCAAGUUUGUUUUUACUGUUCUGAUGGUACACCUUAUUUCAUUUGUCGUUACAGACUACAGUCCGAAAUUUCUGAUUAUUUAGGCAGUUAGAUGUCCCAGGCAGCGGAAACCGGGUCUUCCCCAGCCUCAGCUCGCAACGCUUUGAGAUUUGAGAAUCCUGGGCAUAAGCAGUGGAGGCUGAGGGUGCCGCCGUUCGCAACUGAUGUCGUCAUCCUUCCCACAACCGUUGUGCGAUAGCCACCACCACCAGAUCGAGCGGUCAAGCACCCUGAUAGUGCAAGGGAAGUGCAUAUAUACUCUCUGAUGGUCUCUUGUAAAUUUCUUUCUUGCAUUGUCUACUGUACAUUCGUCUUGAAUCUGAGUUGUUUUUAGGUUCCUUGUUUUAUCCUGCACUUUCUUUAGAAAUUUCGAUCUAAUACUCUAAUUUAUUUUGAAUCCUAUUGUUACUUGGGGCAUUGUUGAGGAGUGACGGUGUUGGAACUGCCACUGAGGCUGAGCUCCAAGUGAUCUACCGUGUAUUCAUUGGCGAGAUUGGCCUCAAGCUGCAACUGUGAAUUUAACUAACAUCCUACGGGCCUGUUGACUUGGUGUUGUCAUAUUCUGUUAGCAAUAGUUUUUUACUAGCCCAAAAAUCAUAUCGAAUGAUUAUGUAAAACCAAAUCAUUUCUAGCUUUGUUUUGUAAUGCUAAAUAUGGUAAUUGAUGUGUCGAAACUAGAUUUCGGCAAUAAUAAAAAGGGGGUGGCUAUCAAGCUA